rnacentral:lncRNA from 1 species
CUCAAUAAGUUGGCUGUAAACUGUGAUCAGACCCUUGGUUAAAACUAUCUGUGUUUAAUGGGAAAAGCAUUGGUUUGGGAGCAGAACAAGGUUGAAACCCAUACCUCUUUGGGCCAGUUUCCUCACCUGUCAGUUGUGAUAGUGAUGCCCACAUUAUAAGGCUUUCCUAUUACAAGAAAAAGCAGGUGCUCCACAGGAUCACUGCAUUGAAGUCAUCAGAAGGUCUUUGUGACUUCCAUGGGCCUGGAAAGUUCUCCAGUUCAACUCAGGAGGUGCAGGGGUCAGGCCAAUGUGCUUCAUUUCUCCAGCUUCCCAGAUGAGGCGCUCUGCAGAGGUGGGCGAGACUCUGCUGCUUUCCCUGAUGGGGUCCUGAGAAGCCAGAGGUGCAUAAGGGAUGAAACCUUUCAAGUCUACUCCCAACCAUCUCUCCGGAUUGUCCAAAUGAAAUUCAAAUCCUUCCACUUCCCUCAGUGUAUCUGCAAUGUAAACUGGUGGUGUGCAGAGUGUAUGACUACUCUUCCAGGUGCUACAGAGGCUGUGUGGUGAGAUCCAAGAGAGAUGUGGGCCCCUACCAGGAAAAAGUGGAUGUAAUCCUGAGACCUAUCCAGCAGCAGAUUCCCCCUGAGGAGAAGAGGAGCCUGGGUAGGUCACCCUCGGAUGACCCUGCUGCUCGCUAAAGCCCAGCCCUAUGACACUCAUGGAAUUAGGAUGCUUCUGUUGGUGUUAUGUUACAGCCCAAAAUGAAUACCUACUACGUGCCAGGCAUGCUGUGCUAUGCCUGGGCAGACAGUUCUGACCCAGAAGGCAUAUAGACCUGAGGCUUUAUCCUCUGCUUCUCAUGCAUACAAUGAAAAUGCUAUUCCUUACCUAUACUACUGCUGAGAGGGUUCAAUAAAGUAAUGUUAAUUGAACUGCCUUGACC